CUGUGAUGAUGAUAAUGAUGGCGACUGUGAUAAUUGAAAUAGUUCUUAUCAAAUCGAGAAGGUUGAGUUAUCUUAGCUCUUAAUCCACUAUAAUAAGGAUCAUCUAAAAUAUAAUCAUAUUUCACGUUGACCAUUCGUUCAUCAUUUUCAUCUUCAUCGUCAUCAUCUUCCACGUCCAACUCAUCAUCAUCUUCAUCGCCUGUUACUCCAUCAACUCAUCCUUCAGCCAAUUUAUCUAAAGCAGACAAAAGGAUAGCUCAGAUGAAAAAGAAAGCAGCUAAUAAAAAGAAUCUACUAGCUUCAAUCAAGUGAUGAAAGAUUAACUAACAGCUCUUCAUCUCAACUAAUUUCUACUAAUUGAUUUAUUAUCAAUAGUAAAUCCCAGUGGCUGAGAUAGAGAAAGAGAUAGAGAGAGAUAUAUAGAAACUUAUAUGUGAUUUUGGCUAGAGAACAAGGUUAAUGUGUAACAAUUAACUGACCUUGUCUAAACGCUGGACAAUUUGAGCCAACUACAAUUUAACCUUUCUGAUUUUAAUUUUCCUUACAGUCCGAAAAGUGACCUACUAAGCGGAAAAUGGAAUUAUGUCUCCAAUUAAGAACUUGAAUGUUUUAUCUGUCAACUGAUUGUCAAUCGCACUGAAUUGCUUUUCCAGAAAUCAAUAAUCAAAAUAAGGGUUCAACCUUUUUUUCCGAAUAGGUUAAUUUUCUCAUUUUUCUAACUAAUUUUUACCAAGCGCGUUGAUCAAUUUCCAUGGGUGAUUCCUUUUUCUAAUUGCAAUUGCUUGAAUGGCUCAUAAGAGAAUAAUUGUGACUCUGGGUAAUAAGAUAAUUAAUAAUUAAUUUAUUAUAUUUUUGUCAUUUCAUAAAAUAAAUUCAAUGAUAUCCAAUGUUUAA